GGAGAGGUGGCCGAGCGGUCUAAGGCGCCCGCUUGCUAAGCGGUCGUGCGGGUAAAACCGUACCGUGGGUUCAAAUCCCACCCUCUCCG
rnacentral:tRNA from 1 species